rnacentral:rRNA from 1 species
GAUGAACGCUGGCGGCGUGCCUAAUACAUGCAAGUCGAGCGAACAGACGAGGAGCUUGCUCCUCUGACGUUAGCGGCGGACGGGUGAGUAACACGUGGAUAACCUACCUAUAAGACUGGGAUAACUUCGGGAAACCGGAGCUAAUACCGGAUAAUAUAUUGAACCGCAUGGUUCAAUAGUGAAAGACGGUUUUGCUGUCACUUAUAGAUGGAUCCGCGCCGCAUUAGCUAGUUGGUAAGGUAACGGCUUACCAAGGCAACGAUGCGUAGCCGACCUGAGAGGGUGAUCGGCCACACUGGAACUGAGACACGGUCCAGACUCCUACGGGAGGCAGCAGUAGGGAAUAUUCCGCAAUGGGCGAAAGCCUGACGGAGCAACGCCGCGUGAGUGAUGAAGGUCUUCGGAUCGUAAAACUCUGUUAUUAGGGAAGAACAAAUGUGUAAGUAACUAUGCACGUCUUGACGGUACCUAAUCAGAAAGCAACGGCUAACUACGUG